GUGGGGGUGGGGGUGGGGGUGGGGCGAGGGGUUACCAGAAAUGGAACUCGGGACCUCACGCUUCUCGGGGAAGGCGCCCCACCACUGAGUUAAAUCCCCGGGCCCUGUUUUCCAUCGUGAUGAGGUUGUUGGAUGCUCUCUCCUCAGCGCCAGUGACAUACACACUCUGGCACGUACUUUGUGGCGAGUGUGUAUGUGCAGAAGAGCUGAGGGGUCAGAUGGGACCACGCGUACUGGGUGCUGAGUCCCCUGAGUCCGCGUGCCCUGACCUCCACCUCCACUCCCCCCACCCCCAGCUCUUGAUCUCUGCACUGUGUUUACUGGUCCGCCUCCUGCCCAUCUGGUUUCCCUGAGCAGGGGCUGUUCUGCAGCGCAGGGCCGAGGGCACCGGUUAGUGGAAAGCAAUCUUUGUCCCCCUCUCCCAGGGAACACACAUCUUUUCAGGCCGAACUCAUCUUUGAUCCUCUCUCUGCCUGUGUCUCUGUCUGUCUGUCUGUCUGUCUGUCUGUCUGUCUGUCCGUCCGUCCGUCCGUCUGUCUGUAUCUGUGUCUGUGUGUCUGUGUGUCUGUGUGUCUCUCUGCCCUUUCCAUCCGUCUUGCAGGUGAGCCACACCAAGAGCUGACCUGCUUUCCCUUGUUUUCAAACGCGGUGAAAUCACUUCCUGUUUUUCCCUUUUCGGGCUUCUAAGCUUGGCCACAGAAGCCCAACAAAUGUGUCCACGUGAGCCCAGAGCAGGGUAAUCUGCAGCCGCUCUGGCCCUCAUCUGGCAUCCAGUCCACCACCUCUGUGUCAGGAUCCCUGGAGGGCCACAGGCACCUCUCGUGGCCGAAGGCACAGGCCUCCCAGACCCUCGUUCCCUGACCUCCUGGGCUGUCUCGGACCUCGGGGUGGGCCCCCCUGGGAUUGCAGGAGGGAUGGAAGGGCCGGAGAGUCACCAGGAGGUGCUGUGCCCGGUUGCUAGUCCUCAGUGGUGGUAUGUCUGGCAAAGGCGCAGUUGGGGGCAAGCAGCGGGGUGUGGUUGCCCUCACGGUGCCCUAGGGCAGGGGCCGUGAGGGCCCAAGUGGGGGCCCAGUGUCUUUCGGGUCCCGAGACCCGUCAGCCCGAAGAAACCUCAUGCCGCAACGCAAGGCCCGGCCCUGCUCCGCUCCGCUCCGCUCCGCUCUGCGGCAGGCUGCUGGACCCUAGGCCUCGGAGCUGCUCCGUGGCCUCCAUACCCUUCUCAGAGCAGGGUGCCAUGCCUUCUCCCGUCCCCCCACCCCCGGAGGCCGGAGGCCGGAGGCUUCCCCUGGUGCUCUGCAUGGGCUUUGGCCGGGAGAGCUGCUUUGCCAGGUCUCAGGAGGACGGCCUCUUCGUCCUCCCCCGAGGGCUGCCUGGGCUCCAGCGAGUCCUCCCGUGCCUCUCAGUCCUCAGCGUCCCCUCUGUUGAGGUGACCGUGUUCCUGGUCUCCGGCCAGUCCGGACGUUGCUGGGGCCCACCUGGACGCAGCCCCAGCCCCAGCCCCAGCCUAGCUACCCUAAUCCCCGCCGGCCUCUGGGCCUUUGGCCACUGAGGGCCACUCGCUUUGCCUUGCUGGAGGACCCACUUUCCCUGGCUUCAGCCACUUGUGGUUUUGUGGUCUUUCGGGUGCAGGCGUGUUGGUCGCCCCCUACCUCUGCUGCCUGCUUCUCGCCGCCCCUCCACCCAACCCCGUUUCCCACUUGGCCACCGUGGUGCUCCUGCCCGUCUCACACAGAGCCCUUGCCUCCUCCCUCCACGGGGCUCCCCAUGCACCCUCAGCCUCCGGAACCUGCUGCCUCCUCCGCUUCUGCUUUCUUCUUGCUCACCCCCAAAUGCAGGCCUCCCCAAGCACCAGGCUCCCGUGCCAAGGCACUUGGCACUGGACGCUUGUGGCCACGCGGACGUUGCGCAGACACCGCCACGUAGCUGCGGCUGAGCCCUUCAUCCACUUUCACCCUGCAGCCUCCUGCCGCCUCAGCAUGCCCUGCGCUUUACAUUAGAGACCCUCAGUCCACGUGCGGGAAGCCAGACUCAAUGUGGAUCUUCUGGGGAAAUAACGUGUCUUUUCAUGGGAACGCGCAGGCAGCCACGCUCGACCGCACACGCAGGCACGUAUGCACGCACGUAUGUAUGCACGCACGCACGCAGGCCCGGAUGGAGAUGGAGACGCAGCCGCAGCAGCACGGGAGAAAACGGAAGGAAAGGAGAGCCCCCGGGAGGGAGUGUUUUGUGCCCGUGACUUCCAGCUGUGGGGACACGGGCCGGCCGGCCGGCCGUGGGGGAGGAAGGAAGGCUUUGGGAGGAGGGAAAGCAGUGUGAAGCCCCCGCCCUCCGGUCCGGUCCGGUCCGGUCCGGUCCGGUCCGUUCUGGUUUGGUUCAGGACUCUGUGGAGGGGGACACGCACACCCACUCCCACACCCACACCCACACCCACACCCAGCGGCAGCCCCCGGGCGCUUUGGCUUCGCCCCUGGGCUCUGCUCCAGGACUUCAGUUUAGGGUA